UACGUAGGGUGCGAGCGUUGUCCGGAAUUACUGGGCGUAAAGCGCGUGUAGGCGGAUAUGCAAGUCGGAUGUGAAAUCCCUGGGCUCAACCCAGGAACUGCACUCGAAACUGCAUGUCUUGAGUAUCGGAGAGGAAAGCGGAAUUCCUGGUGUAGAGGUGAAAUUCGUAGAUAUCAGGAGGAACACCGGUGGCGAAGGCGGCUUUCUGGACGAUAACUGACGCUGAGACGCGAAAGCGUGGGGAGCAAACAGG
rnacentral:rRNA from 1 species